UGCAGAAUCCCGUGAACCAUCGAGUCUUUGAACGCAAGUUGCGCCCGAAGCCACUAGGCCGAGGGCACGUCUGCCUGGGUGUC
rnacentral:rRNA from 1 species